UGGGGAAUAUUGCAAAAUGGGCGCAAGCCUGAUGCAGCCAUGCCGCGUGUAUGAAGAAGGCCUUCGGGUUGUAAAGUACUUUCAGCGGGGAGGAAGGGAGUAAAGUUAAUACCUUUGCUCAUUGACGAUACCCGCAGAAGAAGCACCGGCUAACUCCGUGCCCGCAGCCGCGGUAAUACGGAGGGUGCAAGCGUUAAUCGGAAUUACUGGGCGUAAAGCGCACGCAGGCGGUCUGUCAAGUCGGAUGUGAAAUCCCCGGGCUCAACCUGGGAACUGCAUUCUGAACUGGCAGGCUAGAGUCUUGUAGAGGGGGGUAGAAUUCCAGGUGUAGCGGUGAGAUGCGUAGAGAUCUGGGGGAAUACCGGUGGCGAAGGCGGCCCCCUGGACAAAGACUGACGCUCAGGUGCGAAAGCGUUGGGAGCAAACAGG
rnacentral:rRNA from 1 species